UUCCAGACUCCUACGGGAGGCAGCAGUGGGGAAUAUUGCACAAUGGGGGAAACCCUGAUGCAGCGACGCCGCGUGAGUGAAGAAGUAUUUCGGUAUGUAAAGCUCUAUCAGCAGGGAAGAAAAUGACGGUACCUGACUAAGAAGCCCCGGCUAACUACGUGCCAGCAGCCGCGGUAAUACGUAGGGGGCAAGCGUUAUCCGGAUUUACUGGGUGUAAAGGGAGCGUAGACGGCAUGGCAAGUCAGAUGUGAAAGCCCGGGGCUCAACCCCGGGACUGCAUUUGAAACUGUCAGGCUGGAGUGCAGGAGAGGUAAGUGGAAUUCCUAGUGUAGCGGUGAAAUGCGUAGAUAUUAGGAGGAACACCAGUGGCGAAGGCGGCCUGCUGGACGACAACUGACGGUGAGGCGCGAAAGCGUGGGGAGCAAACAGGAUUAGAUACCCGAGUA
rnacentral:rRNA from 1 species